rnacentral:snRNA from 1 species
AAUAGAGUUCUAAGAGUUCUUAGCCUAUGAGGUUUAACCAAGGUGCAAUUAUUGCUAGUUGAAAACUUUACCUAAUACUCUGCCAUGACAACUUGAAAUAUAGUUAGCAAUGACAAUUUUUGAAAGUCUCUAUGAAGG